rnacentral:misc_RNA from 1 species
UCCUCCCUCUCCCAAACAAAGCCUUAAUAGAAUUCAGUAUUUAUAAGAUCCUAGAUGAUCUUUUGACUUCAUUAACACAAGAUAUAUCAACUGAAAGUGUUCUUGAUGGGAUAAAAACACACACAUACAGAAAGAGAAGUCCAAAAUUGUACUUUGAAAUAUCAAACAUGCAAAAGUCUUGUGAAUUAACAAUGUAAUUUUAGACUGGCGUGCACAGGUAAAAUUCUAGCUUUCAUGUCAAACUAAUGGAAAUGUCAUCCUAACAAAUGUAUGACAGGUUGAGGAACCAGCCUACUAAUGCUUUUAUUGCAAGCAAUUCUCAAACAGAUGAUGAGACUAGGGUUCAGAACUUCAGAUUUAAUGAAAAAGGGGAAUUUAGGAUUGCGAAAUUUAAAAUUCCAUUUCAACAAAUACCAAAACCAGGGAAGCUUAGCAUGUAAAUAGGGCAGAUAAGAGAAGAACUGCUCUAGACCUAGAUCAGCUAGCAACUGAUCAGAUUUCCCAAUACAAUUUAGAAGGCAAUUAAUUAAUUUAUACUAGACAUAAGAAACAACAGAAAAGAAAAGCAAUAACUCUCAUGAUCAACGCAAAGGGUAAUAAUCUUGGAGGCUUGAACAAAGACAUUCAGCCUAUAUAAUUCUCCUUUUCACAAAAUUUUCUCUUCAUUUAUUGACUGAAAAAAGGGGCAUAAAAUAAACAGCAAUCUGGAGCUCUUAGAUCACACAAGAACAAAUCAUGAUCAAAACCCACAAAGAAAGCCAAGAUUAAAGUCAAUCCAAAAGUAAUGAGCAAAGAAUGUGCAAAAGAAGAAGAAAAAGAAAACCUUUCUUAGCCUGAAGCAGACUCCUGCCAGUAGAAGCAUGGGAUUGAAAAACAGAAUCUGAAAUAAAACUGGAAGCAGAAGAAGGAGUAAAGACAACCAUCAACAAGAGGAAGAAGAGAAUUACAGAAAACCAAUUCAUGUCCUCUGUUUAUUAUAUAUCAUGAAAGGGAGAGAUCUCCCUUCUACACUUCUUCUCUCUUUUCUUGAUUUCGUUUCUUCUGGAUUCUAUACUCGAUCUUGUCUUGUAAAAGAAAGAAAACUUCAAGCUUUAAAGAUAAAAGAAAGAGGACGAAAAAGAUAAAAAGAACAAUAAGAAGAGAAACCAAAGACAAAACUGGGAAAAGACAGAUACUAUAAGCUUAUUAUUGAGAAAUGGGUGACAACGCAUUACGCGAAAACUGGGCCAUAUCCUGCACACGUACAGCUGAUUGUUUCUUCUUCUUCUUCUUGAGUUUCCAGUUUCUACUUCUGCAAAUAUAAUAAUAGGAAAAUUCUAGUAAGAACUGGAGAAGGAUAUCAUAUGCUGUGACGGACAAUUAUCUCUCGUGAUAAUAAGUUAAUAAUAAUGAAAUUUUCAAGCCAGACAGGCAAGGCAGGCUUAUGUCGGU